AUGGGACGCGCGGCGGCGAGGGUGCAUGGCCAUGGGGAUUGGGAUUCUCCCCUUGGUCACGCUGAGGAGGUGAGGGAGGAAGCGAGAGGAGGGAGGAGCGAGAGAAAAAUAGAAGAUGGCGGCGCUGGUAGAAGAAGGAGGCGGGGCAUCGAGGGAGUGAUGCGGGAACGAACACGGAGAUGGGGAUCGGGCGUGGGGCUUCUGGCAGCGCUAGAGGAGGAGACGAGGGAGAGUGGGGGUUGGGCUAGGGUUAGAGCAGAUAGGUGGGCCGGCUGGAUGGGCCUAAGUGGCCGGCUAGGCUGGGCCUCUCUCUUCCCUCUCCAACUCUCUUUCCUUCAUAUUUUUUUAUAG
rnacentral:rRNA from 1 species